rnacentral:rRNA from 1 species
UACGGAGGGGGCUAGCGUUGUUCGGAAUUACUGGGCGUAAAGCGCGCGUAGGCGGCUUUGUAAGUUAGAGGUGAAAGCCCAGGGCUCAACCCUGGAAUUGCCUUUAAGACUGCAUCGCUUGGACAUCGGAGAGGUAAGUGGAAUUCCUAGUGUAGAGGUGAAAUUCGUAGAUAUUAGGAAGAACACCAGUGGCGAAGGCGGCUCACUGGUCCGGUACUGACGCUGAGGUGCGAAAGCGUGGGGAGCAAACAGG